UACGGAGGGAGCUAGCGUUGUUCGGAAUUACUGGGCGUAAAGCGCACGUAGGCGGCUUUGUAAGUUAGAGGUGAAAGCCCGGGGCUCAACCCCGGAACUGCCUUUAAGACUGCAUCGCUUGAAUCCAGGAGAGGUGAGUGGAAUUCCGAGUGUAGAGGUGAAGUUCGUAGAUAUUCGGAAGAACACCAGUGGCGAAGGGCGGCUCACUGGACU
rnacentral:rRNA from 1 species